GAUUAGCACAAAAGAAUGGGCUGUUUGUCUACCAGCAGGGAGGUCGGCAGUGAUGACCAGACAUGGUGGGCUAGAUAAGCAUAUCCAGAUUUGCCCCUGACCAGACGGUAGAAAGGAUAACUAACCAAGAACGCACUAACACUGACCAAGAUCUCCGUGAGGGUAGAGGUGAAACAAACCCAGUACUUUCAAUGGUGCCCUUUUCCUAGCUCACAACCGGAAACCAGUUCCUUACCAUCUCCAAACCUCAGCAAUCUACCUGGUCCUCCAAGGGGAAUAAUUCUGACCUUGGGCUGAAGAGGAAGAUGGUUUGCCAGAAGGGAUCGGAGAAUGCACCUGUUGUGCAUGCGGGCCACACACUAACCAGCCUGGAAAGCUGCCUGCUCCUCCGCGCCCCGGCUAAUUCCCCAGGUGGGCAGUUCAGCAGCGGGGCCGGAGCCGGCCUGGGGGUGCCUGGGGCUCAAUUGCUUUACUCGGGACUCGGGGAACCACAGGAGCUGUCGACCGUGCCCGCGCGCCAAGCAGGCACCGCC
ensembl:lncRNA